rnacentral:rRNA from 1 species
ACUACGGGGUGCAGCAGUGGGGAAUUUUGGACAAUGGGCGCAAGCCUGAUCCAGCUAUUCCGCGUGUGGGAUGAAGGCCCUCGGGUUGUAAACCACUUUUGUAGAGAACGAAAAGACACCUUCGAAUAAAGGGUGUUGCUGAAGGUACUCUAAGAAUAAGAACCGGCUAACUACGUGCCAGCAGCCGCGGUAAUACUUAGGGUGAGAGCGGUAAUCGGAAUUAAUGGGAGUAAAGGGUGCGCAGGCGGUUGAGUAAGACAGAUGUGAAAUCCCCGAGCUUAACUCGGGAAUGGCAUAUGUAACUGCUCUACUAGAGUGUGUCAGAGGUAGAUGGAAUUCGACGUGUAGCAGUGAAAUGCGUAGAUAUGUGGAAGAACACCGAUGGCGAAGGCAGCCUCCUGGAACAUAACUGACGCUCAGGCACGAAAGCGUGGGUAGCAAACAGGAUUAGAUACCCCAGUAGUC